GUUCUCUCUUUGUUAGUACACAUACUGAAAUUGGAACAAUAUAGAAAAGAUUAGCAUGAUCAUUACCCAAGGACAACACUCAAAUUUAUGAAGCAUUUCAUAGUUUU
ensembl:snRNA U6 U6 spliceosomal RNA